UUUUUUUUUUUUCUUGCUCCCAUAUCUGAGUUAUAGUUCUCUGCCUUUUCAUUUUUAUAGGUUUUUGGUGUGGUCUCCUCUUUGCAAACAAUAGAGUUGAAGCCUCUCUUCUGAUGUCUGCUGCCCUUGUGGCUGAAGUUGGUAUGGGGGCUUGCUGUAGGCUUCCUGAUAGGAGGAACUGCCUACUGGUGGGUGGUGCUUUGUUUCUGGAUGAGAUUAGAAGUGGCUGUGUGCCUGGGGGGUCUUUAGGCAGCCUAUUUACUGAUAGGUGGGGCUGUGAUCCCACCUGGAUUAUUGUUUGGCCUGGGGCCUCUCAGCACUGAUAGAUGGGGCUAGACUUACCAAAAUGUCCACCUCCAGAGGAACACACAGCAGAUGAAUAUUCCCAAGACCUUGGCUUCCAAUGCCCUUCCCCCACAAUAGGCCACAGUCACCCCCUGUUGUCCUAGGAGAUCCUCCAAAAACUGCAGUCAAAUCCGACCCAGAUUCCCAUGGAGUUUCUGCUUUGCCCUGGGACCCAGCGCACACAGAAGCCUAUGUGCGCCUUUCAGGAAAGGGGUCUCUGAUUCCUCCAGUCCCAGGUAGCUCCCAUGCAUAAACCCCACUGGCCUUCAAUGCCAGAUGUUCCGGGGUCUCUUUCUCCCAAUGCAAGAUCCCCACAGUGGGGACCUGACCAGAACUCUCACUCCUGUAGGUGAGUUUCUGUGAUAGUUACUUUCCAGUCUGUAGGCUUCCCACCUGGCAGGCAUGGGGUUGCUUCUAUCACGUAAUCGCCCCCCUACCUCUUGAUGUGGACUCCUCUUUGUCUUCUGGAGUAGGAUAUCUUUUUGAAAGUUUCCAGUCCAUUUGGUUGAAGGCUGUUCAGCAUUUGGUUGUAAUUUUAUUGUUUUUAUGAGAGAAGGUGAGCUCCAGUCCUUCUAUUCUGUCAUCUUAAUCCCCUAGGAUUGUCCACUUAACAUCUUUUUUUAAAUCAAAAUCACCCUCAAAACUUUCGUUUCUUUAAUCUGCAAGUAAUCACGCUGGGAUAAAAUCAUCUUGGGUUUAAUCCCAAAUUAGUUCAAGACAUAUCCUCUUACUUCAAGUUUGCAGGUUCUCAUAGGCUGAAUAAGGACUUUUAAUUCAAUUCAACUAUUAGUCCUUCUGGGGGAAGGGUAAUGGAUCAAAUUUAUAGGCCAUUCAAAACUGAUUCUUACACAGGUCUUUUGUAAUGAACUUGAGUUUGGAAGCUAACAUUUUAGUGUGAUGUUGGACACUAUAGAUUUAAAAAAAAGGAUUAUUCAUACACCUAUAUUUUUGUUUCCCCUAAUAAUUACAUCAUCCCUCUCUUUUUGUCCCUUUCUAAGUCCCCGGGGUUGAUGGUGCUACACAUUUUGGCUCAAGAACUUACCAUCUAGGAAACUAGUAAUGCACUAAAGUCUCCCUAAAAGACAGACCACAUGUAUGAGAUCUUCUGGUACUUAAAAUACUAACAUGUGUUUUACAAUCAAUUGAAAAUUGAUCUACAGUUUCUUCAGGUCAAAUACAGGCCCAUCCAUAAUGUAUCAGUUGUUAUUCAAAAUAUAUAUAUAUUAACAAUGAAGCAGAAGCCACUUUUCCUAAGAGCUUAAAAUAGGAAAAAGAAAACCCAAAUAAUGACCGUCUGUCAGUGUAAGUUGUAAGAAAAUAUAUUUAUUUUUUCCAUGACAAUACUAUGAUAAAAUCGUUAAAUACAUGCAUGUUUUAAAAACAAACAUAAGUAACAUCUUUAGAAUUAACAGCCAGCAUACUAGUUUUACACUUAAGGUAUCUUAGUAAUAGGUUAUUUAUAUUCUAUAUUCUUGCUAUAACCAUGUUUCCCAAAAGUUAUGGAAACUAAAUUCUGAAAUUAUAUAAUGAUAUAAAAUGUUCAAAUUUUCCUUUUGAACAGCAACAUCACCUCCAAAUUUUCACAAGGCAGAAAAUACUUCAGUUGUCAUCUCUGUUAAGUGGAGUUUGUUUAAUCCAUAUUAAACUCAGAAUUCUGUGAAUCAGACUGAAUCACAUAAAUAUACUGUAAUCUCUAGUUUGCUUCCUGCAUAAGUAUAUUUAAAUGUUUCCUGAUACAUGAUUUUAGGUACACAACAUCACAACUGAUCAUUUAGGUUAAAAAAGAAAAGUUUGUAGUGGCAACAUUUCAAGAAAUGAAAAAGGAAACAGUUUUGGAUCUCAGUUUUGGAUCUGCAGUUUCUCCCUACCUUUCAGCUACAUUUGCACACAACUGACUAAACAAAAAUUAGUAAACAGUUACUUAGUAUUUAUAAAAAAAAACUGAAAAUAUUUUAACAUAUAACAUCCCCUUUAAAAAAACAAUCUACAAACAACCUUAUAAAAGACAAAAACUUGUAUCUGUUCACAGUAUGUGCAUUUUGUAAACAGUAAUUCACUAUAAUGCAAUUUUGAAAGUAAAAAAUGGUGAUUUCUUAGCAUUAUAAGGACCUCUGACUUGCGGCUGGCUAAUGAAAGAGAAGAAAAGGUAACAUACUCCUACUAGGAAAGCUUAGUGUUUUAAAAUGAUGUUACCUUUGGACAUACCUUAAGUUAGUAUUAUCUCAAAUUUAGGAUGCCUCUCUAUCCAGGCCAAUCUUUUUUAAGCAAUUCUGAAUAGAAAUGUAAUUAAGAAGAUGCCUUGCUCCUUUUGGAGAAAAUAAUAGUCUAAAACAUAUCCCAGGGUAUCAAAUAAUACCUACCCUUCCACAACAGUGAAUGAUAUCAGGUUUCUUCCUGUGUGUACUGUAUUCAUAAUGUACUCACGUUUUCCUGAAACAUGUUGGAAGAAAAAAUUAAAUAGAAGGAUAUAUCAUAAAUAAUGGGGACAAGUGCUGGAAAAUCAAACUGGAGACAGUAUUUGAAAAACAUUUUUAUGAAAAUCAUUAUUCAGUAUUGUUUUCUAUUAUCAGUUACAAAAAUACUAAGGUUAAACCUAACAAUUUAACUUGUCCAUGUUUAAGGAAAAUUCUCUACCUAGAAAUCUUCUAAUCUUUUAUAAUAUACCACUGGAAUGCUUAGGAAGAAGAGUAAAUAAGUUUAGAAAUUGAAAGCCACCCAUUUAAAAUGGAGUAUCUAAAAGAAAACACAUUUUAUUUUCUUGCUUUUCAGGGCUGUGCCCACAGCACAUGGAAGUUCCCAGGCUGGGGGUAGAACCAGAGCGAUAGCUGCCAGCCUACAUCACAGCAACACCCCCGACCCACUGAGUGAGGCCAGGGAUCAAACCUGCAUCCUCAUGGAUACUAGUUGGAUUCAUUUCUGCUGCACCAUAGCAAGAACUCCCAGGAAAGCACAUUUUAAAUGUAUAAAGAAUGCACUACAUUUAAGGGAACCAUUCAAUCAGGUACACAAAGUAGUUUGGUCAUAUGGGUAGCAUAAGAGCUAUGUUAGGAUUUUUUGUUUAUUUUGCAGUUCUGACUGGCUACUGCAAAGGCAAUCUUAGAAGAUACACAUGUAGGGAGUUCCAUUGUGGUGCAGCGGAAAUGAAUCCUACUAGAAACCAUGAGGUUGCGGGUAAAAUCUCUGGCCUUGCUCAGUGGGUUAAGGAUCUGGUGUUGCCAUGAACUGUGGAGUAGGUCACAGACACAGCUCAGAUCCUGCACUGCUGUGGCUGUAGUGUAGGCCAGCAGCUGUAGCUCUGAUUGGACCCCUAGCCUGGGAACUUCCAAGUGCCCUAAAAAGCA
rnacentral:lncRNA from 1 species